UACGUAGGGUGCGAGCGUUGUUCGGAAUUAUUGGGCGUAAAGGGCACGCAGGCGGCCUGACAAGUCUGAUGUGAAAGACCUGGGCUUAACUCAGGGAACGCGUUGGAAACUGUCAAGCUAGAGUAUUAGAGGGGGAGUUGGAAUUCCUAGUGUAGGGGUGAAAUCUGUUGAUAUUAGGAAGAACACCGGUGGCGAAGGCGAACUCCUGGCUGAAUACUGACGCUGAGGUGCGAAAGCAUAGGGAGCAAACAGG
rnacentral:rRNA from 1 species